GCACACUCCAACAUCAUUCACAAACCAAGCAUUUGUGUUUAGUGAGUCCGCCAGGUCAAAGGCAGUAGGGAUGACCAGGGAUGUUCUCUUGAUAAGCACGUGAAUUUGACAAUUUUCCAAAUGGGUGCCAUUUGGGAUGCAUCCCAUAUAAAUACUGUACAUAUCUGAGAGAGACUAAAAAGUGUGCUCAUUUGCACCCAGCACAAUCCCAACUGAAGCCUGAUGUGAGGUGAGGUGAGGUGUGGUGAGGUGAGGUGUGGUGAGGUGAGGUGUGGUGAGGGCAGGUGAGAUGAGGUGAGGUGUGGUGAGGUGAGGUGAGAUGAGGUGAGGGCAGGUGAGGUGAGGUGAGGUGAGGUGUGGUGAGGGCAGGUGAGGUGAGGUGAGGGCAGGUGAGGUGAGAUGAGGGCAGGUGAGGUGAGGGCAGGUGUGGUGAGGUGUGGUGAGGUGAGAUGAGGGCAGGUGAGGUGAGGUGUGGUGAGGUGAGGGCAGGUGAGGUGUGGUGAGGUGAGGUGAGGUGUGGUGAGGGCAGGUGUGGUGAGG
ensembl:lncRNA